AACGGUCUAUACCUGCGGUACCUGCGGAAGGAUCAUUACCGAGUUAUCAACUCCCAAACCCCUGUGAACAUACCCGAACGUUGCCUCGGCGGGACCGCCCCGGCGCCCCUAGCGGCCCGGAACCAGGCGCCCGCCGGAGGACCCAAACUCUUGCUUUAAACAGUGGCAUACUCUCUGAGUCUCACAAACAAAAAAUAAAUCAAAACUUUCAGCAAUGGAUCUCUAGAUCGGAAGACACAC
rnacentral:misc_RNA from 1 species